AGAAGCCGUAUGAGAUGAAAACCUCAUGUACGGUUUUGGAACAGAAAUUUUUUGAAUAGAAUGAAUGAUCGUAAU
rfam:Zea mays cultivar B73 chromosome 7, whole genome shotgun sequence.